UCCGGUUGAUCCUGCCGGAGGUCACUGCUAUCGGGAUUCAACUAAGCUAUGCGAGACGCGAGUCAUCUGGACUCGUCGAACUGCUCAGUAACACGUAGUUAACUUACCCUCAAGUGGAGGAUAAUCCUGGGAAACUGGGGCUAAUACUCCAUAGUUGUAUCAUACUGGAAUGUUUUUACAACCAAAGCUCCGGCGCUUGAGGAUAGGACUGCGGCCUAUCAUGGCUGUUGUGAGUGUAAAGUACUCACAAACCUGUAACGGGUAGGGGUCAUGAAAGUGAGAGCCCCGAGAUGCUUUCUGAGACAUGAAAGCAGGUCCUACGGGACGCAGCAAGCGCGCAACCUUUCCAAUGGCUUAACGGUCGAGAAGGGAAUCCUGAGUGAUUAUACUAUGUAUAGUCUUUUACUUUGUCUAAAACGCAAGGCGAAUAAGAGGUGGGUAAGACGGGUGGCAGCCGCCGCGGUAAUACCCGCGCCUCGAGUGGUGACCACUAUUAUUGGGUUUAAAGCGUCCGUAGCCGGUUUGGCAAGUUUUUGGUGAAAUCCAAUAGCUAACUAUUGGGCUUGCUGAGAAUACUACCAGACUUGGGAUUGGGAGAGGAUAGGGGUAUUCCAUGUGUAGGGGUUAAAUCCUUUAAUCCAUGGAGGACCACCGGUGGCGAAGGCGCCUAUCUGGAACAAGUCCGACGGUGAGGGACGAAAGCGUGGGGAGCAAAUGGGAUUAGAUACCCCAGUAGUCCACGCCGUAAACGAUGCCCGCUUGAUGUUGCAAACUUUACGAGAGUUUGCAGUGUCGGAGUGUAAAUGUUAAGCGGGCCACCUGGGGAGUACGGCCGCAAGGCUAAAACUUAAGGGAAUUGGCGGGAGAGCACACAAGGGGUGUGAGCUGCGGUUUAAUUGGAUUCAACGCCGGAAAACUCACGAGUGUUGACAGCAGAAUGAAGGUCAUCCUAACGGGGUUACCAGACAAGCUGAGAGGUGUUGCAUGGCCAUCGUCAGCUCGUACCUUGAGGCGUGCGGUUAAGUCCGUUAACGAGCGAGACCCACGCCAUCAUUUGCUAUCAUAUUGUAAGUUCUUACGAACCGAAUAUAUGAGCACUAUGAUGGGACCGCUGGUGAUAAACCAGAGGAAGGAGUGGGCGACGGUAGGUCAGUAUGGCCCGGAUAUCCUCGGCUACACGCGGCCCGCAAUGGCUAGGACAAAGCGCUGCAACACCGAAAGGUGAAGCCAAUCGCCCAAACCUAGCCCAAGUUCAGAUUGUGGAUUGUAAUUCAUCCACAUGAAGCUGGAAUCCCUAGUAAGCGAAUGUCAUCAUCGUUCGCUGAAUAUGUCCCUGCUCUUUGCACACACUGCCUGUCAAGCCAUGCGAGUAGAGUUUUGAUGAGGCCAGCUUUAACUGUGUCGAAUCAGGGCUUUGCGAGUGGGGCUAAGUCAUAACAAGGUA
rnacentral:rRNA from 1 species